GAAAAUGCGAUGAAGAGGAGAGUAACUUCGAAUAAUCGUGAUAGGGAGUCCCGUUAAGUGGAAAGGGAUAACGAUUUGAGAAGCGAAAGUAGCCUCCGAGCAGUGAAUGCGAAGCAAUGAGUAUUUACGGUGUGCACACCUUAACGUGCCAGUGUAUCGUUGAGUUAAAUCAGCCGUACAUGAUGAGACAGUUUGUGUGAACAAACUGUAAAUUAAGGUGGUACCGUGUGAAAGCGCCCUUGGU
rnacentral:ncRNA from 1 species